UACAGAGGGUGCGAGCGUUGUCCGGAAUCACUGGGCGUAAAGGGCGCGUAGGCGGUCGCGUAAGCGUGUGGUGAAAGCCCGGGGCUCAACUCCGGAACUGCCUUUAAGACUGCAUCGCUAGAAUUGUGGAGAGGUAAGUGGAAUUCCGAGUGUAGAGGUGAAAUUCGUAGAUAUUCGGAAGAACACCAGUGGCGAAGGCGACUUACUGGACACAUAUUGACGCUGAGGUGCGAAAGCGUGGGGAGCAAACAGG
rnacentral:rRNA from 1 species